CUUGCCCAAGGACACUGCCGGGGCUUGAGUGUUGGAGGACUUGAGCCUUAGAGUGUUGAAGAUGGGAGUUUGAGAACUAGCUCUGCCAUGAGCUGUGACACAGUGGCCAUUAUCUUGUUGCGCCUUGAGUACAUUAUCCCUAAAAUGGGAUAAUUGCUCUCCUGCCUGUAUUAUGUGAUUAUUGAAGAACUGAGUGAAGAAACAGCUAUUCUAGCAAAUAUUUACUGAGCGCUUAUUUUCCAAAUGUUCUAAUCCUUCACGCAACCCAAACGCUUCUCACAGCAGUCCUGCCGAUUAGAGUCUCACUCUGUUGCCCAGACUGGAGUGCAGUGGUGCAAUCUCGGCUCACUGCAGCCUCCGCCUCCCAAGUUCAAGCGAUUUUCCUGUUCAGCCUCCCCAGUAGCUGGGAUUACAGAUGAAUGCCACCACACCUGGCUAAUUUUUGUAUUUUUUGUUAAAGACGGAGUUUCACCACGUCUCAAACUCCUGGCUUGUCUCAAACUCCUAACCUCAGGUGAUCCGCCCGCCUAUUUGACGAUAAAGUUUGCUGAUCCUGCCCUAGACUGUAAGCUCCAGGAGAGCAGAGACCGCGUCUCUUUCAUCUACUCUGCAUCUCAAUACCUGACUUGGUGCCUGGCUUGAAAUCCAUGGAUAUUUGAAAUGGCCUUGAAAAAUAUGGGAACUGUAUGGAGCAUCUGGAAAGCAUCUGUGGAAGAAUUACAGCAAAAACUUCUACAAUUCAAGGUUAUCAUUUCUGUCUAGAUAAGAAGUUUCUCUAUCAGGACUAGCUAACUGACUUUUGAUCAAGACAACAGCCUGAUUUCUCAUCUGGACUCCUGGCAGAGCAGCCGCAAACUGUAGGCUGUGUCCACAGAAGUUGAAAACAUCCUGACAGAUGUUGUUAAAGGACUCCAGUAGCAAAGAUCAAAGUCUCCGAAUUUUGCCUUUGGAGAAGGGGGUUUCAUUUCAGACAUCAAAGAAAUCCAACGCAGAAAUGACCAACAGGUUUUCCUACCCCCUCAGGCUGGUGAGCUGUUCCUCUGGGCUUCUAGAGGAUUCUGUAUGACUGCAAUCAUUAUCAAUUUUCAUACUAUUUGCAAUUGUACAUUUCACUUGCCUGGCUUUAGGGACAAAGACUUGAGACUUUGAUCUUGCCUUGUACUAUGGAGCCAAAUGCAGGGCCUUCCAUCCACUCAGUGCUCAGUUUCCAUGUCUAUGUCUAUGUUGGACAUGUCUAUGUCCAAGUCUAUGUCUCAGUUGAGAUUUACUGAAUAAAAUCUGAAUAAUUUUAUGCCA
rnacentral:lncRNA from 1 species